rnacentral:rRNA from 1 species
CAAAACUCGUACCUUUUGCAUCAUGAUCUAGCCAGCACCUUCAAGCAAAGAGAACUCCAGUUUGCAACCCCGAAACCUACAACGAGCUACCCCGGGGCCGCCUAAAAUAGGGCAAACCCAUCUCUGUGGCAAAAGAGUGGAAAGACCCCCAGGUAGAGGUGAAAAGCCUACCGAGUCAGGUUAUAGCUGGUUGCUCAGAAAAUGAAUAGUAGUUCAGCCCCAUAACGCCCCCAACCGACCAUAAUUAUCCUAUAGGUAAAAGAGCCACUUAUGAGAGUUAGUUGAAGGAGGUACAGCUCCUUUAACAAAGGAUACAACCUUAAAUAGGAGGUUAAGGAAUACACUUUACCGAAGGCUCAAAAGUUUUAGUGGGCCUAAAGGCAGCCAUCUAAAUAGAAAGCGUUAAAGCUUAAACAAAACUAAGCCUAAUAUCCCAUUCAACCCUCCAAUACCCCUACGUAUUACUGAGCCAUUUUAUGCUCCCAUAAAAGAGACCAUGCUAGAACAAGUAAUAAGAAGAAUGAACUUCUCCCCGCACAUGUGUAAAUCGAACCGGACAAACCACCGAUAAUUAACGAACCCAAAAACAGAGGGCCCCACGCAACCACCACUCAAACCAAGAAAACCACGUCCCACCACAAUCGUUACCCCUACACAGGAGUGCACACACCCAAAGGAAAGACCAAAAGGACAAAAAGGAACUCGGCAAACCAAAACCCCGCCUGUUUACCAAAAACAUCGCCUCCUGCUACUAAC